rnacentral:rRNA from 1 species
AGUGAACGCUGGCGGUAGGCCUAACACAUGCCAGUCGAACGGCAGCACAGUAAGAGCUUGCUCUGACGGGUGGCGAGUGGCGGACGGGUGAGGAAUACAUCGGAAUCUACUUUUUCGUGGGGGAUAACGUAGGGAAACUUAGGCUAAUACCGCAUACGACCUACGGUUGAAAGCAGAGGAUCUUCGGACCUUGCGCGAUUGAAUGAGCCGAUGUCGGUUUAGCUAGUUGUCGUGGUAAAGGCCCACCAAGGCGACGACCCGUAGCUGGUCUGAGAGGAUGGUCAGCCAGCCUGGAACUGAGACACGCUCCAGACUCCUACGGGAGGCAGCAGUGGAGAAUAUUGGACAAUGGGCGCAAGCCUGAUACAGCCAUACCGAGUGGGUGAAGAAGGACUUCGGGUUGUAAAGCCAUUAUGUUGGGCAAGAAGAGCAGCAGGAUCAUACCCCGCUGUUCUGACGGUACCCAACGAAUAAGCACCGGCUAACUUCGUG